GAACGCUGGCGGCGUGCUUAACACAUGCAAGUCGAACGGAAAGGCCUGCUUUCCCUUGUGGAUUGCGGGUACUCGAGUGGCGAACGGGUGAGUAACACGUGAGUGAUCUGCCCCCAACUUGGGUAUAAGCCUGGGAAACUGGGUCUAAUUCCCGAUAGGACUGCAGGGUGGUGCCUGUGGUGGAAAACGAUUUUCUAGUGGUUGGGGAUGAGCUCGCGGCCUAUCAGCUUGUUGGUGGGGUAAUGGCCUACCAAGGCGGCGACGGGUAGCCGGCCUGAGAGGGUGGACGGCCACAUUGGGACUGAGAUACGGCCCAGACUCCUACGGGAGGCAGCAGUGGGGAAUAUUGCACAAUGGGCGGAAGCCUGAUGCAGCGACGCCGCGUGGGGGAUGACGGCCUUCGGGUUGUAAACUCCUUUCGACCGCGAGGAAGCCACCUGGUUGGAAGGGUGGUGACGGUAGUGGUAGAAGAAGCACCGGCUAACUACGUGCCAGCAGCCGCGGUAAUACGUAGGGUGCGAGCGUUGUCCGGAUUUACUGGGCGUAAAGAGCUCGUAGGUGGCUUGUCGCGUCGUCUGUGAAAGUCUGGGGCUUAACUCCGGGUGUGCAGGCGAUACGGGCUGGCUUGAGUGCUGUAGGGGAGACUGGAAUUCCUGGUGUAGCGGUGGAAUGCGCAGAUAUCAGGAGGAACACCGAUGGCGAAGGCAGGUCUCUGGGCAGCCACUGACGCUGAGGAGCGAGAGCAUGGGUAGCGAACAGGAUUAGAUACCCUGGUAGUCCAUGCUGUAAACGGUGGGCGCUAGGUGUGGGGACUUUCCAUGGUUUCCGUGUCGUAGCUAACGCGUUAAGCGCCCCGCCUGGGGAGUACGGCCGCAAGGCUA
rnacentral:rRNA from 1 species